UACGUAGGGUGCGAGCGUUGUCCGGAAUUAUUGGGCGUAAAGAGCUUGUAGGCGGUCUGUCGCGUCUGCUGUGAAAAUCCGGGGCUCAACCCCGGACUUGCAGUGGGUACGGGCAGACUAGAGUGUGGUAGGGGAGACUGGAAUUCCUGGUGUAGCGGUGAAAUGCGCAGAUAUCAGGAGGAACACCGAUAGCGAAGGCAGGUCUCUGGGCCACUACUGACGCUGAGAAGCGAAAGCAUGGGGAGCGAACAGG
rnacentral:rRNA from 1 species